rnacentral:lncRNA from 7 species
GAUAGCAAAGCCCGGCUUCGGCGGGCGGAAGGCACACAAAGCCCACCUAGAGGGGUGCCUGGGCCAGGCCAUGCAGCCCAGCGGUGGGAGGGAUGAGCUGUUGUCCACACAACACAGAACACAUUUCCAAAGGAAAAAAAAAAAAAAAAAGCAAAAAAAAAAAAAAAAAAAAAGGAAAAACUGCAAGGCUGGGCUCCAUCCCUGCACCCUGCCCUGCCAGCAGCCAUGAUGGGAGUGCUGCUGGAGCCCCUUCUGCCCUCACAUGGAAGAGACGCGGCGUUGGUUAAAGCAAACAGCGAUACAGUGCUCCGAACAGCGAUACAGUGCUCCUCUGCUGUUUCUGGGAACGUGGGACGCCUCCUGGAGCGGGACGCCAUGGCCGGAGAGGUGCUGAGCCGUCCUCAGGGUUUUGCAGGGUUCUUUAGAGCUGUGCUGCAGUGUUUCAGCCACUUGCAUCAUCAUGAGUUGUCAGCAUGCAAAGCCAUUAAAGAAUUGGCUGAUUGAAACAGCACCAGCCAUGAGCUUCCCUGGAUUUUAAGCUGGUGUUUAAAUAGAUCUAUGGAUCUUAACGUCUGCAUUUUAAACCUCAAUUUUGGUCUGUUUAACCCUGAAGCAAACUAGCUCUGCCUAACGCAGCACAGGCUUCGAAACAAUUCAGCCAGACCAUAAUACCGUGGGAGCUCAGACAGCUUUGUCUGCACUCGCACCUCUCUGCACGUCUCCGCAGGACCGUGACUGCUGCUGUGUGCAAUCCAUCACCGCAUGGACGGUGCUGGAACCCCCGGCUGCUCCCCAGCACGCACCAGGGCCCACACCGGCCAAACCCCACGGGGUAAAGCAGAGCCAGGGCUCUGCGUGGGUCCUCAGCACUUCUGGAAAUGGCUGUUCAUGCUCUGCAGAUGCAUGGGCUGUAUGCACAUGGGCUGUGUGUGCUGCAUAAUGAUGGGGAACCACCAUUCUGCUGGGUGUUCGUGCCUGAGUACAAAGAGAGAUACCUUCAUAUGCAACAGGGGAACAAACAUUUCUUUUGUUUAAGAUCUAUACAAGUUUUGAUGGACAUGUUGGGCAUUUGCCAGGGCUGGCUUUUUUCUUCUCCUUUUAAACUACAUCUGUUCAUUUUAUUUCUGGUAGUAUUAUGACAAAGCCACCUCUGUAAGAAAGGUAGCUUGUGCUUUCAGAGAUCUAAUCAUUCUUGAGCUUUUAAAGAAUAAAGAAGCUGUUUCAACAUC